rnacentral:lncRNA from 1 species
UACUAAAACCUUAAACGACAAUCUUUUAAGAACGGAGGUAGUAACAUUUUUCUUUAAUUUCCUUUGUCUCAGAAAAAAUAACAAUUUUAUUGGAUAAAGAAGCACACCAUUCCGUAUUUCAGCGACAGUAAGUCACCACACUUGAGUAAUUAAUGUGUUUUAGAGCUCAAUUCGUGAGCUUCAAAUCAAAACAAAACAUUAAUUAUUCUUUAAUUACAACUUAAAGAAAACUUUAUAUUUAAUUAUGCUCUCUCUCAACAACAACAAAAAAUACUUUGGCAAAUAUUCAAAUCCCAAGCAAGGCUAAGUUCUGUAAGCAUACUUAGUCUAUUUUACCGUCCACCACCACCGCUACCAGACCCGGUACCAGUUCCAAGGCCAGCACCACUGCCAACUCCAAUUCCUACGCCAAUCCCAAUACCUAUUCCGAAUCCCCCUCCACCACCAGCUCCUCCACCGGCUCCACCCCCUAGUCCUCCACCUGCCCCUGCACCACCUCCGACUCCAAAUCCUCN